GAUGAACGCUGACAGAAUGCUUAACACAUGCAAGUCUUUGGCGAAGCUGUGCUCGCACAGCCUAGCAAGGCGGACGGGUGAGUAACGCGUAAGGAACUUGCCCUGCAGUCAGGGAUAACAGACGGAAACGACUGAUAAGACCUGGUAAAGUCAGGCGGACUCAUGUCCAGCCUGAUGAAAAGAGAUGCUGCAGGAGAGCCUUGCGUCCUAUUAGCUUGUUGGUGGGGUAACGGCCCACCAAGGCGAUGAUAGGUAGCCGGCCUGAGAGGGUGGACGGCCACAAGGGGACUGAGAUACGGCCCUUACUCCUACGGGAGGCAGCAGUGGGGAAUAUUGGACAAUGGGGGCAACCCUGAUCCAGCAAUUCUGCGUGCACGAUGAAGGUUUUCGGAGUGUAAAGUGCUUUCAGCAGGGAAGAAAAAAAUGACGGUACCUGCAGAAGAAGCGACGGCUAAAUACGUG
rnacentral:rRNA from 1 species